rnacentral:rRNA from 1 species
GGUACAGGAAUUAGCUUGCUAAUUUGCUGACGAGUGGCGCACGGGUGCGUAACGCGUAUACAAUCUACCUUUUGCUGAGGGAUAGCCCAGAGAAAUUUGGAUUAAUACCUCAUGGUAUUAUUGAUAGGCAUCUGUUAAUAAUUAAAGGUUACGGCAAAAGAUGAGUAUGCGUCCCAUUAGCUAGUUGGCGAGGUAACGGCUCACCAAGGCAACGAUGGGUAGGGGUCCUGAGAGGGAGAUCCCCCACACUGGUACUGAGACACGGACCAGACUCCUACGGGAGGCAGCAGUGAGGAAUAUUGGACAAUGGGCGAGAGCCUGAUCCAGCCAUGCCGCGUGCAGGAAGACUGCCCUAUGGGUUGUAAACUGCUUUUAUACAGGAAGAAUAAGCCUUACGUGUAAGGUGAUGACGGUACUGUAAGAAUAAGGACCGGCUAACUCCGUGCCAGCAGCCGCGGUAAUACGGAGGGUCCGAGCGUUAUCCGGAAUUAUUGGGUUUAAAGGGUCCGUAGGCGGAUGAUUAAGUCAGGGGUGAAAGUUUGCAGCUCAACUGUAAAAUUGCCUUUGAUACUGGUCAUCUUGAGUUGUAUUGAAGUAGGCGGAAUAUGUAGUGUAGCGGUGAAAUGCAUAGAUAUUACAUAGAACACCAAUUGCGAAGGCAGCUUACUAAGUACUAACUGACGCUGAUGGACGAAAGCGUGGGUAGCGAACAGGAUUAGAUACCCUGGUAGUCCACGCCGUAAACGAUGGAUACUAGCUGUUCGGGACCUUGAGUUCUGAGCGGCUAAGCGAAAGUGAUAAGUAUCCCACCUGGGGAGUA